rnacentral:rRNA from 1 species
ACGAUGACACACUUCGGUGGGAUUAGUGGCGAACGGGUGAGUAACACGUGGGCAAUCUGCCCUGCACUCUGGGACAAGCCCUGGAAACGGGGUCUAAUACCGGAUACUGACCCUCGCAGGCAUCUGCGAGGUUCAAAAGCUCCGGCGGUGCAGGAUGAGCCCGCGGCCUAUCAGCUAGUUGGUGAGGUAAUGGCUCACCAAGGCGACGACGGGUAGCCGGCCUGAGAGGGCGACCGGCCACACUGGGACUGAUACACGGCCCAGACUCCUACGGAGGCAGCAGUGGGGAAUAUUGCACAAUGGGCGAAAGCCUGAUGCAGCGACGCCUUGUGAGGGAUGACGGCCUUCGGGUUGUAAACCUCUUUCAGCAGGGAAGAAGCGAAAGUGCCGGUACCUGCAAAAGAAGCGCCGGCUAACUACGUGCCAGCAGCCGCGGUAAUAGGUACGGCGCAAGCGUUGUCUGGAAUUAUUGUGCGUAA